rnacentral:rRNA from 1 species
AGUGAACGCUGGCGGUAGGCCUAACACAUGCAAGUCGAACGGCAGCACAGUAAGAGCUUGCUCUUACGGGUGGCGAGUGGCGGACGGGUGAGGAAUACAUCGGAAUCUACUUUUUCGUGGGGGAUAACGUAGGGAAACUUACGCUAAUACCGCAUACGACCUACGGGUGAAAGCAGGGGAUCUUCGGACCUUGCGCGAUUGAAUGAGCCGAUGUCGGAUUAGCUAGUUGGCGGGGUAAAGGCCCACCAAGGCGACGAUCCGUAGCUGGUCUGAGAGGAUGAUAGGCACAAUUGGAACUAGAACCCGGUCCAGACUCCAAGGGGAGCAGGCGUUGGGAAUAUUGGACAAUGGGCGCAAGCCUGAUCCAGCCAUACCGCGUGGGUGAAGAAGGCCUUCGGGUUGUAAAGCCCUUUUGUUGGGAAAGAAAAGCAGCAGGUUAAUACCCCGCUGUUCUGACGGUACCCAAAGAAUAAGCACCGGCUAACUUCGUG